rnacentral:rRNA from 1 species
CCUACGGGAGGCUGCAGUGAGGAAUAUUGGUCAAUGGGCGAGAGCCUGAACCAGCCAAGUCGCGUGAGGGAGUACUGCCCUAUGGGUUGUAAACCUCUUUUGUCGGGGAGCAAAAGCCGGACGUGUCCGGCUGUGAGAGUACCCGAAGAAAAAGCAUCGGCUAACUCCGUGCCAGCAGCCGCGGUAAUACGGAGGAUGCGAGCGUUAUCCGGAUUUAUUGGGUUUAAAGGGUGCGCAGGCGGAUUUUUAAGUCAGCGGUCAAAUCGUGGGGCUCAACCGUAAAAUUGCAGUUGAUACUGGCAUCCUUGAGUACAGUAGAGGUAGGCGGAAUUCGUGGUGUAGCGGUGAAAUGCUUAGAUAUCACGAAGAACUCCGAUUGCGAAGGCAGCCUGCUGGACUGUAACUGACGCUGAUGCUCGAAAGUGUGGGUAUCAAACAGGAUUAGAUACCCUGGUAGUC